rnacentral:rRNA from 1 species
GUAGGGGGCAAGCGUUAUCCGGAUUUACUGGGUGUAAAGGGAGCGUAGACGGUGUGGCAAGUCUGAUGUGAAAGGCAUGGGCUCAACCUGUGGACUGCAUUGGAAACUGUCAUACUUGAGUGCCGGAGGGGUAAGCGGAAUUCCUAGUGUAGCGGUGAAAUGCGUAGAUAUUAGGAGGAACACCAGUGGCGAAGGCGGCUCACUAGGCCAAUACUGACGCUGAGACACGAAAGCGUGGGGAGCAAACAGGAUUAGAUACCCUGGUAGUCCACGCCCUAAACGAUGAGUACUAAGUGUAGCCAGAAGGCUGUGCUGAAGUUAACGCAUUAAGUACUCCGCCUGAGUAGU